rnacentral:rRNA from 1 species
UAUGUAGGGUGCAGGCGUUAAUCGGAAUUACUGGGCGUAAAGCGUGCGCAGGCGGUCUUUUAAGUCAGAUGUGAAAUCCCCGGGCUUAACCUGGGAACUGCGUUUGAAACUGGAAGGCUAGAGUGUGGCAGAGGGGGGUGGAAUUCCACGUGUAGCAGUGAAACGCGUAGAUAUGUGGAGGAACACCGAUGGCGAAGGCAGCCCCCUGGGCUAACACUGACGCUCAUGCACGAAAGCGUGGGGAGCAAACAGG